UGGGGAAUAUUGGACAAUGGGGGAAACCCUGAUCCAGCAAUGCCGCGUGAGUGAAGAAGGCCUUAGGGUUGUAAAGCUCUUUCGCCCGCGAAGAUAAUGACGGUAGCGGGAGAAGAAGCCCCGGCUAACUCCGUGCCAGCAGCCGCGGUAAUACGGAGGGGGCUAGCGUUGUUCGGAAUUACUGGGCGUAAAGCGUACGUAGGCGGAUGCGCAAGUUGGGGGUGAAAUCCCGGGGCUUAACCUCGGAAUUGCCCUCAAAACUGCACGUCUUGAGACCGAGAGAGGUGAGGGGAAUUCCUAGUGUGGAGGUGAAAUUCGUAGAUAUUAGGAAGAACACCAGUGGCGAAGGCGCCUUACUGGCUUGGUACUGACGCUGAGGUACGAAAGCGUGGGGAG
rnacentral:rRNA from 1 species